UCGCAUCUGUGCAUGCAGCAUAUCAAUAAGCGGAGGAAAAGAAACUAACAAGGAUUCCCCUAGUAACGGCGAGUGAAGCGGGAAGAGCUCAAAUUUGAAAUCUUAAAGGGUUUCCCUUUACGAAUUGUAGUUUAAAGAAGUGUUUUCUGUUGAGGUUUUGGUAAAAGUUCUUUGGAAUAGGACAUCAUAGAGGGUGAGAAUCCCGUAUUUGACCUUUACUUUCAACUUUGUGAUACACUUUCAAAGAGUCGGAUUGUUUGGGAAUGCAGUCCAAAAUGGGUGGUAAAUUUCAUCUAAAGCUAAAUAUUGGCGAGAGACCGAUAGCGAACAAGUACCGUGAGGGAAAGAUGAAAAGAACUUUGAAAAGAGAGUUAAACAGUACGUGAAAUUGUCAAAAGGGAAGCGUUUGACACCAGUGUUGUUUUUCUGAAAAUCAAUUAAAGAACUGUUUAUGCUAAGCUGUUUAGACUUUAUCAGCUAACUGUUUAGUUUUGAGCUUUUCUUUAUUGCACUUUUCAGUUAACAAGUCAACAUCAAUUUCUUUUGCUGUAAAAAAGCUUGAGGAAGGUGGCUUGAGAUUCGUCUUAAGUGUUUAUAGCCUCUUGCCUAUGCAGUCGGAGAGAUUGAGGUCUGCAGCGUAGAUCCUUCGGGGCUAAAUGCAUUUGUGCUAAGUUAUAGCAUUUUAUAGACAACUUGUUGACUAUGAUUUGUCUUGUAGCUUACUCGCUUAUGUUAUUUUACCUACGCUUAGGAUGUUGAGUCAUCACACAUCUCU
rnacentral:rRNA from 1 species